UCGUCACACUAUCAUUAACUGAAUCCAUAGGUUAAUGAGGCGAACCGGGGGAACUGAAACAUCUAAGUACCCCGAGGAAAAGAAAUCAACCGAGAUUCCCCCAGUAGCGGCGAGCGAACGGGGAGGAGCCCAGAGCCUGAAUCAGCAUGUGUGUUAGUGGAAGCGUCUGGAAAGGCGCGCGAUACAGGGUGACAGCCCCGUACACAAAAGCGCAUGUGCUGUGAGCUCGAUGAGUAGGGCGGGACACGUGGUAUCCUGUCUGAAUAUGGGGGGACCAUCCUCCAAGGCUAAAUACUCCUGACUGACCGAUAGUGAACCAGUACCGUGAGGGAAAGGCGAAAAGAACCCCGGCGAGGGGAGUGAAAAAGAACCUGAAACCGUGUACGUACAAGCAGUGGGAGCACAGGUUUACCUGUGUGACUGCGUACCUUUUGUAUAAUGGGUCAGCGACUUAUAUUCUGUAGCAAGGUUAACCGAAUAGGGGAGCCGGAGGGAAACCGAGUCUUAAUUGGGCGUUAAGUUGCAGGGUAUAGACCCGAAACCCGGUGAUCUAGCCAUGGGCAGGUUGAAGGUUGGGUAACACUAACUGGAGGACCGAACCGACUAAUGUUGAAAAAUUAGCGGAUGACCUGUGGCUGGGGGUGAAAGGCCAAUCAAACCGGGAGAUAGCUGGUUCUCCCCGAAAGCUAUUUAGGUAGCGCCUCGUGAAUUCAUCUCCGGGGGUAGAGCACUGUUUCGGCUAGGGGGCCAUCCCGGCUUACCAACCCGAUGCAAACUGCGAAUACCGGAGAAUGUUAUCACGGGAGACACACGGCGGGUGCUAACGUCCGUCGUGAAGAGGGAAACAACCCAGACCGCCAGCUAAGGUCCCAAAGUCAUGGUUAAGUGGGAAACGAUGUGGGAAGGCCCAGACAGCCAGGAUGUUGGCUUAGAAGCAGCCAUCAUUUAAAGAAAGCGUAAUAGCUCACUGGUCGAGUCGGCCUGCGCGGAAGAUGUAACGGGGCUAAACCAUGCACCGAAGCUGCGGCAGCGAACGUAUCACUUAAAGCGAUUCAGCGGGUUACGAUUGACGGAGCGAAGCGACGUCAAAGCGUAUACAAAGUCGAGUCGGUUUAAGGAUACGUUCGUUGGGUAGGGGAGCGUUCUGUAAGCCUGUGAAGGUGUGUCGUGAGGCAUGCUGGAGGUAUCAGAAGUGCGAAUGCUGACAUAAGUAACGAUAAAGCGGGUGAAAAGCCCGCUCGCCGGAAGACCAAGGGUUCCUGUCCAACGUUAAUCGGGGCAGGGUGAGUCGACCCCUAAGGCGAGGCCGAAAGGCGUAGUCGAUGGGAAACGGGUUAAUAUUCCCGUACUUGGUGUUACUGCGAAGGGGGGACGGAGAAGGCUAUGUUGGCCGGGCGACGGUU
rnacentral:rRNA from 1 species